AGUUUAGUCAGCUAAUUUAAGCUAUUGGGCCCAUACCCCAAAAAUGUUGGUUAAAACCCUUCCUCAACUA
rnacentral:tRNA from 1 species